ensembl:lncRNA
UUUAUUUUUACACUGCAGAUAAGUCCAGAAGGUCACAGGAGGGAAUAAACGCAGGCUGCAGACAGCAAAAAAGAAGAAGGUGAAGAAACGUAUAAAAGAAAAUGGUAGAAACAGCGGCAUAAACAAAGAAUACAGGAUAGGUGCAGAGAUGAGCCAAGAAGAAAAAAGGAAAUUCAGAGGACCAGCAACAGCCAUGAGGAGACGGAGUGAGAGACUGCGGUGAUCUACCAAAAGAAAGAACUGCAACAGCCUUCAAACAACAAAUGAAUAAUUCAGACGCAUCAGUGAGUCCGUUGCUCUGUGUGCAUGCUAGAUCUCAGGGCUAAGAAACUUAAAUAAUACAGUUUCAGGUUUGAC